UGUAGCUGGGUUUUUCUGUGUCUCAGCUCCAGCACAGCUGGCACCUCAGACCAGGCCAAAGUUAAAGGCUAGCUACAAAAAUAGUAGGAAUAAACUAAAGGAAGCAGAAUUACACCAGCUAUUGCUUCUCCUUUUUUAUUUUAUUGACUAGUUACUGGGCAUAGAGGCUACUGGAAUUUAAAAGCUAGUCUAUGCAGGUUGCCACUUUCCUCAGUUGUGUUCCUGCUCUUACUGCCUUACCAGCUGAUCUUUCCAUGAAUCAGCCCAAGGGAAUAAAAGACUGGUUUCUGUAAGGAAGAAUUACAGAAUACAACUAACAAUGAAUCAUUAAGGAAAGAAGUCUUAUUUGUGGUGAAAUUCUUCUUGGAACUUUCUUUGGACUGCAGUGACAUCUACAGUUAAAAUCAAGAAGAUGAACACUAAUAAGAACAGUGGGUCAUUUCUCUGGACUUUGCAGUCUUCCACAUUAUGCAUGAAUCUAUCCUACAGCCAUUUGGAGAAGCACAAGGAGCAAAUGAGCUAUGAGUCAUGGAAAGAAGAAAAGACAUGUCACAAAUAUUGAAAUUAAACGCAAAAGAAAAUGACAAAUGCUGGAAAUGUGAGUUGCCUAACAAGCGACAGAUAGUAGAACAAGGCAAAUGCUGGAAACAGUAAGUAAUACGCGAAGACAAACACUGGGAAGAAAACACGGUAAAAUAAAAGAAUGGAAAC